GUCCUAUUGCCCAACUUGCGCAGUUCGUUUUGUUCAGUUCAUUCGCCGAUUUUGAAGAAUACGGACGCUGACGCUGGCACCGCGUAGUUUUGCCAAAAAAAUUCGUAAUAAACACACGCAAAACGCUUAAAAAGUGUCAAUUUGCAAAACAUUAGCUGUUGAGCAGUGCAAGUGCAGGGAAAACGAUCGUUGGAAUUGCUGAAAACACACCAAAGCGCGAAUUGCGGGCUUUUUAGUGACUGUCACAGAAUGUGUGGCACAAAAGGGAAAGCGCGGUAAUUGAGCGUGCGAACGCCUAAAACGCAGAGAAAUGUAAAUAAAUAAACGUGUGACUGUGCAAAAAUCGUGAGAAGUGAACAAACACGCCAUUUGGCAAGUGAAAAGCACUGAAAAACUAGAGACAAGGAAAUCCCAUUUCCGCGCCAAGUACGAUGGGCGAAGGUGUUCCCAUUUCCAGAGUUCUUAUCGGGCAGCGCCUGAAGUAUGAUUGAGUUGGCCUCGCCUCCGAUUCGCGUCUGGUUGUAGCUGCGGUAGGCCGAUACGGAUACUCCACUCGGGUGGAACCUUGAUGGACCUUUAGUGCGACUUUCGAGGGAGGCCAGGGGAAUGGAACAUGCCCGGGGAUAUGCAUAAGAACGUAUCUGUUCAAGUCGAUAGUGAUUUUGCCUUAUUGCUACCCAGUGGAGUUUAUGAAAUCAAGAAAAUGGAACCGCGCUCCAAAAUCCGAACAAUCAUUGUGUUUUGUCUCUUCCUGGCCAUCGCCGGUAUCAUCGGAUUCGGAUACUUUUGUCAAGAUCAGGUAAGCCAUGGAUUCGCAUCUAAUAACGAUUAUAAAAGGGUAAAAAACAUAAUCUCAAUAUUAAAUCU